GCCGGAGUAUUUUCGCGAUGGAGGAUUAAUUGAAGAAUGAAUGUUGUAAAGAACUGGUGUUGGGAUUGUAAAUUUAUCUCUUAUGUUCUUACAGCAUUUCUUCUUCUCUUUACAUUCUCAAGACCCAUAGGAGGUUUAGGAGAGGGCAAAAGACUAUGAAUGUGCCAAAGUAAUACUCAGAGGGCUCUUCAAGUCCUAAGCUCAUUAGGUUAACACCAGUAAUAUUACCAGUAUAAUACUCAUAUUAAUAUCUCUGGACCAGUAUUAACCUAAUUAUCCCCCUCCUGAUACGGAGUGGGAUGCCACUCCAGUGGGAAACUUCGCAGAGAGGAUGUAGGAGAACCGCCCGGGCCUUGGAUACAGCGGCGCAAGAGGGAGGAGCCUUCGAUUACCAAUGUUCCUACCAUAUAUAUACAAUUCCUCCCUCUUCCUGUCUUCCAUUGUGUCUAAGGUAUAUAGGUCUGCUAGGUAAGCCUUACUGAAGAGUCCAACUAGCAGAUCUCGGACGAAACACUGCUGCUCCUCUCUACUCCUUUUCCUUUAUUUAUCC
rnacentral:misc_RNA from 1 species